rnacentral:rRNA from 1 species
GAGGUCCCGCCUGCCCAGUGAAACUUUCAACGGCCGCGGUAUUCUAACCGUGCAAAGGUAGCGUAAUCACUUGUCUUCUAAAUAAAGACCAGUAUGAACGGCUAAAUGAGGACAGGCCUGUCUCAUAUGACUAAUCAGUGAAACUGAUCUUCCAGUACAAAAGCUGGAAUUUACUCAUAAGACGAGAAGACCCUGUGGAGCUUUAAACAUCCACUAACAAACACCCAAGAGUAUCCUUAGUGAAAAGUUUUAAGUUGGGGCGACUUCGGAGUAAAACAAAACCUCCGAGCACAGAGCCAUAUGCUUUUACCAAGGCAAACAAGCCAAAGUUAAAACUACCGACCCAGUAAUACUGAUCUACGAACCAAGUUACCCCAGGGAUAACAGCGCUAUCUUCUUCAAGAGUUCAUAUCGACAAGAAGGUUUACGACCUCGAUGUUGGAUCAGGACACCCUAAUGGUGCAGCCGCUGUUGAUGGUUCGUUUGUUCAACGAUUAAUAGUCCUACGUGAUCUGAGU